rnacentral:rRNA from 1 species
UACGAAGGGGGCUAGCGUUGCUCGGAAUCACUGGGCGUAAAGCGCACGUAGGCGGAUUGUUAAGUCAGGGGUGAAAUCCUGGAGCUCAACUCCAGAACUGCCCUUGAUACUGGCGAUCUCGAGUUCGGGAGAGGUGAGUGGAACUGCGAGUGUAGAGGUGAAAUUCGUAGAUAUUCGCAAAGAACACCAGUGGCGAAGGCGGCUCACUGGCCCGAUACUGACGCUGAGGUGCGAAAGCGUGGGGAGCAAACAGG